rnacentral:lncRNA from 1 species
CGGGGGAAGCAGUGCUGGGGAGGGGGACGCUGCCCCCCAGUGCCGGCCCUGACGCCCGUGUCUCCCUGCAGGGUAUGAAUGGGGAGCUGGGGGAGAAGGGGGAUUCCGGGCUGUCGGGUGCCGCUGGGGCCCCGGGCAAGAGGGGGCCCCCAGGAGACGACGGAGCCAAAGGCAACCUGGGCCCCAUUGGCUUCCCUGGCGACCCAGGCCCCCCUGGAGACCCCGGGGUGCCGGGCCUGGAUGGAGCCCCCGGGGAGAAGGGUGACGGCGGGGACCCAGGCAUGCCGGUGAGUGAUGGCAGCAACGGGCGGGGAGGGCUCACGCUGCACAGGCGCCGUCUCCUGCCAUGGUCUGGGAGCAGCACCCAGAGCCCCUGAGGGAGAGGCCCCGGGCCCCCUAACAGAGGGGCCAACACGUGAUGGGGGGGGGGGGAAUGUCACAGAUCUACAGCUCUGUGCUGAUGUACUUAAAGUACUGCACAGGAUCUUUUCAGGGGGAAGUAAGACAAAACGACCACA